AUUGAACGAUGGCGGCAGGUUUAACACAUGCAAGUCGAACGAGUGGCGGACGGGUGAGUAAUGUCUGGGAAACGGCCUGAUGGAGGGGGAGAACUAUUGGAAACGGUAGCUAAUACCGCAUACAAUCGGAUGUGCCCAGAUGGGAUUAGCUAGUAGGUGGGGUAAAAGCGCACCGAGGCGACGAUCCCUAGCUGGUCUGAGAGGAUGACCAGCCACACGAGAACUGAAGCACGAUCCAGACUCCUACGGGAGGCAGCAGUGGGGAAUAUUGCACAAUGGGCGCAAGCCUGAUGCAGCCAUGCCGCGUGUAUGAAGAAGGCCUUCGGAUUGUAACGUCCUUUCAGCGGGGAAACGUUACCCACAGAAGAAGCACCGGCUAACUCCGUGCCAGCAGCCGCGGUAAUAC
rnacentral:rRNA from 1 species